CAUCACUGUACAUGAUAACCAGGAGAUCAUCAGAGGCGGUACAGCAGACAGAGCGAGGGUACCACCCCUGUAGUGUGAUCACGAUUGAGUUGAGUGGAACAAUGAACCUCCGGAUAUCUAUGUACAUUUACACGUGUAGGAUUAAACUUCUGUUGUACUUGCGUAUGUGAGUUUAUCCU